GGCUGGUUAGCUCAGUCAGUUAAGAGCGUGGUGCUAAUAACACUAAGAUCGCGGGUUUGAUUCCCGUUCGGUCC
rnacentral:tRNA from 1 species